UUUGCUUCAUGCAAAACAUCUCUUGUUUUAUUUCUCUACCUAAGGUCUAAGGUCUUCAGGGCCUCAAAAGAGAAUACUUAAGAUGAAAAGGGAGCAAUUGCCUUCAUGGAAAGGCUUUUUCUUUAUUUUGACACCUCUGGCCUUUUAAAGCCUAUUCAUUGGAAGAGAAAAGAAAAUAUUUGGGAUAGGAAAAAAAGAAAAAAUGUAUUCUUGCAAACAAAUAUCCUGCUUAUUACAUCACCCCAGGCCUUCAGAGCCCCAUUAAUUGUGAGAGAAUAGAGAAAAGGUGAGAUGAAAAAGGAGACAUGUGCUUCCUGCCGAUAAAUUUGGCAUUUAUUUCGCCACCUGAGGUCUUCAAGGCCUCUUAUUUGAUAGUGGAGAUAGACUAACUGGAGUGCAAAAAGGAGAGAUUGGAUUCCUACACCAACUAACUGGCCUCCAUGCCAGCAACUAACUAUGCAUCCCCCCCAGUGCUCUCUUCAGGCUACUGCCCUGGUCUUUCUGGCUUGGGCUGUUGGAGAGAGCAAAGAAGUUGGAGUGAGGUCAAGAGCUUCAUGCACAUUCCCCCUAGUUAUCCCGGAAAGGGUUUUCCCUUGUAUCUUCCCACUCUGCCUGCUCUGCUCUGUCGACGUUGGACAAAAGCACCAAACCACUCCAAGCCAUCUAACGAGAUUCUUCAUCCUAAGACCUGAAAUGGUUUAGUGUGGAAAUGAUACAGAAAGAAACUGGGCCUGCCAACACUCCUCAGGAAAUGCUCCUUUGUCAGCCAUAGAAUGUCUAAUUACAGAAGAAUGGAAGAGGAGGGCAAAUCAUAUGAUUGUUGGAUUUGGAGAAAAUCUGGCUACUGGUUAAGAGGGACCUAACUGUUCCUGGGCCGAAGGCUCAGUCUCGAAGCCUCCGGUCCAGGACAUGGGAGGACGAUAAAAGAGAAUUUUCAGUGGAAGAGGAGGGAUUUUGCAUCAUGCCCAAUUCUGGAAAAUCUGUUCAUGCCGACAGCCUCACCUCAGAAGAUCUCCCAUCACGGGUCUUCACGGCCCAGGGGCGUAUAGGGGAAAAGUCAUUUGAUGCAGAAAUCUUCUUUUGGCUCACCAUCACCCAUCCUUGCUUCCCUGGUCU